rnacentral:rRNA from 1 species
UACGGAGGGUGCAAGCGUUGUCCGGAUUUAUUGGGCGUAAAGGGUCCGCAGGUGGCAAUGUGUGUCUGCUGUCAAAGAAUGAGGCUUAACCUCAUCAAGGCAGUGGAAACUACAUAGCUAGAGUACGGUCGGGGUAGAAGGAAUUCCUGGUGUAGCGGUGAAAUGCGUAGAGAUCAGGAAGAACACCGGUGGCGAAAGCGUUCUGCUAGACCUGUACUGACACUGAGGGACGAAAGCUGGGGGAGCGAAUGGG